rnacentral:lncRNA from 1 species
CACAUCCUUGUUCCCAGAGAAUCCUUCAAUGGCACAAACCCUUGAAAACACGACUGACAUGUAAAAGAAUGGCGGAGUUUCCCGAAGGACCGUGUUUGUACCGUGGAGAGCCAAACGAUACCCGGUUUACCGAUUUCUCGGGCACGCGCGAGUACUCCAGUAAGUUGCUCUCUUUGUUGUUAUUUAGUUGUAUGUAGAGGGCGGGACUCGAACUGAAAUGAACAAGGCGCGGCCAAGAACCCCCUUCCUUCACACGUGUAGACAAAGGGACCCAUCAACACAACCCAAACAUGCAGGGAAAAGUUUUCCCGUGCGCGCGACUUCACGCCAGGACCUCGCGAAGCGCCCAGGCCAGCGCGGGACUGCGAGUACUGGAUAACUUCUGUUUCAACGCACGCCCUUUGAAGGAUUUAUUUAAUCAUUAUUUUUCGCUGUGGAAUAUUAUUACUUUUCUUCGGGAUUAUUGGACUAUUCAUAAUGAGAAUGAUUACUUUCAACGUACAACAUGGACAAACAAAAGUAAGCAGAUGGAGUCUGGAGUCAGUCCUGUGGCUCGUUCAGGCAGGCUUAGAACGCUCACUCUUCUUCUUCUCUCGUUCUCAGUUCACUUUGUUGUCUUCUGCAUAUGA